rnacentral:rRNA from 1 species
UUCGGGCGAGCGGCGGACGGGUUAGUAACGCGUGGGAACGUGCCCAGAUCUACGGAAUAGCCACUGGAAACGGUGAGUAAUACCGUAUACGCCCUUAGGGGGAAAGAUUUAUCGGAUUUGGAUCGGCCCGCGUUAGAUUAGGUAGUUGGUGGGGUAACGGCCUACCAAGCCUACGAUCUAUAGCUGGUUUUAGAGGAUGAUCAGCAACACUGGGACUGAGACACGGCCCAGACUCCUACGGGAGGCAGCAGUGGGGAAUCUUGGACAAUGGGGGCAACCCUGAUCCAGCCAUGCCGCGUGAGUGAAGAAGGCCCUAGGGUCGUAAAACUCUUUCGCCUGUGAUGAUAAUGACAGUAGCAGGUAAAGAAACCCCGGCUAACUCCGUGCCAGCAGCCGCGGUAAUACGGAGGGGGUUAGCGUUGUUCGGAAUUACUGGGCGUAAAGCGCACGUAGGCGGAUUAGAAAGUUAGAGGUGAAAUCCCGGGGCUCAACCCCGGAACUGCCUUUAAAACUACUAGUCUAGAGUUCGAGAGAGGUGAGUGGAAUUCCGAGUGUAGAGGUGAAAUUCGUAGAUAUUCGGAGGAACACCAGUGGCGAAGGCGGCUCACUGGCUCGAUACUGACGCUGAGGUGCGAAAGUGUGGGGAGCAAACAGGAUUAGAUACCCUGGUAGUCCACACCGUAAACGAUGAAUGCCAGUCGUCGGGUAGUAUACUAUUCGGUGACACACCUAACGGAUUAAGCAUUCCGCCUGGGGAGUACGGUC